UUGCGGAUCUUUGAUUAGAUCUCUUGAUUCAGAGAUGCAGAAGAGGGCCUGCAGAAGGACUCUCGGUGUGGCUUGUUAAGAAAGACACAGACAAUAAGAACCUUCCAGUGAGUAAAGAGCUGGGAAGUCAAAGCAGACAAACUCUGCUUGUGGAGGGAACUGAUGCUGACCAAGACCACCUUAAGGGGGACUCAGAAGGCUUUGGCUCAUCCUUUCAUGGCAACUAUUUCCAUGUUGGCCUUAGCAACAUGACCUUAGCAACUGACCUUUAAACGAAGCCAUGACCCCUAAACAUGGUCCAGCACCCAUCUCGUGCUCAAAUAAUGAUGACGAUGAAGAAGCUGAGAAGAUUCCAUCCCCACAAGGAAAAUAUUCAGGGGAACAGACUGGACUGCUAAUUAGAGAACUGUCUGAAACCACCAUGAACCACAUUUCCAUCGGUGCAAUAAGCAAAGACGCUUCAUUAAAAUCACUGUCCUCUGCAAGGGAAAGCUGUUUCAAGCGCAAUAGAUCUAAUUCACAGGAGUGAUCAUGCAGACCCAGGAGACGCUGCUGUUGUUCAUUUGCUAAAUUGUGUCCAACUCCUUGCUACCCUGCCUGUAUCACCUCAAAACCAAACAGGGCAUUAGAGGCUAUUGAGAUGAGCC